UAGGAUGUAGCUCAGUGGUAGAGCACUUGUCUAACAUAUACAAGGCUCUGAAUUCAAUCUCCAGCACUGUAA
rnacentral:tRNA from 1 species